rnacentral:rRNA from 1 species
AAUACGUAGGGUGCAAGCGUUAAUCGGAAUUACUGGGCGUAAAGCGUGCGCAGGCGGUUGUGCAAGACAGGUGUGAAAUCCCCGGGCUUAACCUGGGAAUUGCAUUUGUGACUGCACGGCUAGAGUGUGUCAGAGGGGGGUAGAAUUCCACGUGUAGCAGUGAAAUGCGUAGAUAUGUGGAGGAAUACCGAUGGCGAAGGCAGCCCCCUGGGAUAACACUGACGCUCAUGCACGAAAGCAUGGGGAGCAAACAGGA